rnacentral:lncRNA from 1 species
AAAGAUCUCCAGGUCUUCGAUAGAGCCACCUUGGAGACUUUUGUGUGUUUUGGUCUGCAUUUGGGAAUGAAUAGGGAUGGAAACUCUUCUUUUUUUAUCUGAUAGAAUUCUUUAAUUUCUGGGAAGCAAGGCAGCCAUGUUGGGAGGUCUCCAAUGACAUUAUGUUGAGAAGAUGCGUCCAGUUCUAUGAAAGAUCCCUGAGGAUUCCCCGUCCACCGCAAGAGAUCCAGAGAUGCUUUAUUUUUAGCAGUUCGGGUGGAACUUUGAGCGGGACCAAGCGGCAGCGGAUUACUUUGAGGGAAGAAGGCUACUCAGACCGGCUGAUGGAUGAAUCCAGGCCCAAAAUCAUCGUGAAAGACUGGCAAUAUUUCAGCUGGAUGUCUGAUAGUCAACUCCAUGUGAAGCUGCUGUCAGCUGGAUUGGAGGUCCUCCAAGAAUGCAGCCUAUCUGGUUUUGAUAUUUGUGACUGGUGGAAUGAGGUACAGCUAUAGAUAUAAUAUUAUAUUAUUAUAUAUCAUAAUUUCAGCCAAUGACCAACAUUCAUUAUAUAAUAUAUACUCUAUAUAUAUAUAUAUAUAUAUAUAUAUAUAUAUAUAUAUAUAUAAUUUAUAUUAAUAUAUAAUAUUAAUUUCAGCCAAUGACCAACAGCGACUAUAUUAUAUAUUAUAAUAUUAUAUAUAUAUUUUAGGAUAUUAUAUUAUAUUAAUAUAUAAUAUUAAUUUUAGACAAUGACCCAUAGCAACUAUAUUAUAUAUUAGAAUAUUAUAUAUAUAUUUAGGAUAUUAUAUUAUCUAUAUAUAUGAAAAUGUAAUGUGCGUUUUUCCCAUGAAGUAAACAACAAAACCACUGAACCAAAUCACACCAAAUCUGGCCACAAAAGACAUAGUCAUUCAAUCUGUGUCUUUGAAUUAAAAAAACCUAGAGGACGAGGAAGAGCCGUUUUCCCCCUGGCUGCCAGUCAGCAGGGUAGGCUCCACCCCCUUUAGGUCCCCAAUGGCCAACAGUGACUAUAUUAUAUAUUAUAUUAUAUAUAUUUUAGGAUAUUGUAUUAUAUUAAUAUAUAAUAUUAAUUUCAGCUAAUGACCAACGGCGAC